GACGAACGCUGGCGGCGUGCUUAACACAUGCAAGUCGAACGGAAAGGCUCCAGCUUGCUGGAGUACUCGAGUGGCGAACGGGUGAGUAACACGUGGGUGAUCUGCCCUGCACUUCGGGAUAAGCCUGGGAAACUGGGUCUAAUACCGGAUAGGACCGCACUUUGGUGUGUGUGGUGGAAAGGUUUUUCUGGUGUGGGAUGAGCUCGCGGCCUAUCAGUUUGUUGGUGGGGUAAUGGCCUACCAAGACGGCGACGGGUAGCCGGCCUGAGAGGGUGGACGGUCCCAUUGGGACUGAGAUACGGCCCAGACUCCUACGGGAGGCAGCAGUGGGGAAUAUUGCACAAUGAGGGCAACCCUGAUGCAGCGACGCCGCGUGGGGGAUGAAGGCCUUCGGGUUGUAAACUCCUUUCGCUGGGGACGAAGCUUUUUGUGACGGUACCUUGAGAAGAAGCACCGGCUAACUACGUG
rnacentral:rRNA from 1 species